UCCCUGGUAGCUCAGAUGGUAAAGCAUCUGCCUAUAAUGCAGGAGACCCGGGUUUGAUCCCUGGGUUGGGAA
rnacentral:tRNA from 1 species